UUUCUUCACGGCUGGGAAGGGCCCAUGCUAAAACUUCUUGCACCACCUGCAGGUAGCGUGGGCGGAGAUCUGCCUUAAAGGGUCCCCCAACUUCACUGACCUGAGGACCGCUGUGUCUGCUCAUGUCAAGAACAACCUUCUGUCGGGCAGCAGAAGAUGGUGGCCACCUUUAUGUGCCACAACAUGGCCACCGCUGACUGCUUCUACGCCCUCAGCCUGAACGUGGCCCAGUCAAAGAGGAUGACGGAGCAUUUCCGCUAGGCCCUCACCCACACCGUGCCAUCACCGGAGUAACCAGAAGCCUCCUCCUCCUCCCCCACCAGGAAGAGUUACCGCAAGCCUGAGUCCUCCUCCAGUUCCAAGACAAAACCCCUGCCACCUACCAGGAGUCAGGGACCUCAGGACUGGAGAAGGAGAGGGAGUUUAUGGCGAGGCUGCAAAAUACACCAGAGAAGGCCCGAA